rnacentral:misc_RNA from 1 species
CAUCUCAUUCCUCUUUUUCUCGUCUUUUCGUUUUCUCGUAUACGCAAACGACCGACGCCUCUCCGCGCCUCUCUCCAUAUCCUCACGUUCUCUCCCAUAUCAUCCUUUCUCCUCUUCUCCGCCCGCGAGCUGACGAGAUGAUGCAGCUGUCGGACUGGUUCUCGCAGGUGCAGUACCUGCACGCGCGCCGCGAGAAGGGGUUGCAUCCGGUUAACGAGAUGAACCGAUUCACCAUCCUUGUGUGCGGGCUGUUCUGCGGGAUCUGCGUAUCGUUGCCUUACACGUUCGACCUGUACACGACGCAGCUCCGCGACCAGUUUGAGCUGUCCGCCGGCGACCUCUCGACAGUGAGCACUGUAGGACUUGUGUUCUUCUUCUUUCUGCUGCCGUUCAGCGUGAUCUUCGAAAUGUUCGGGCCGUUCGCGAACUUCAUGAUCUGCCUUGCCACGGGCGUGAUCGGGACGGUGGGCCUUGCGCAGACCUUCUCCGGCGCGAUCCCCGGCAACGUGACGACGAUCAGCAUGUUCUACGCGUUCCUGAACCUGGCGAGUGGGCUGAUCGACACGACGUACAUCUCGACGUUGUUCGAGGUAUUCCCGCGCAACCGCGGCCCUGUCGUGUGCCUCGCGAAGGUGAUGACGGGGCUGGGCAGCACGAUCUUUGCGUGCCUGAGCACGACGCUGUUCAAGGGCAGCUUGAUCGGGUUCAUCUACUUCCUGUGCGCGUUCAUCGCCGUUGUGACGGUGUGCGCGAGCGCGCUGAUUGUGCUACCGCUGUACUACAUGAACUGGUGGCGGCUGCGCGGGAAGAGCGCCGAGGAGGUUGCGCUGCUGCGCACGACAAAGCCGCUGUACGAGUACAAGUUCGUGCCUGUACGGCGCCUAAUAGUGGGAUACGCGGUCGUGCUGACGUUGAUCGUGUUCUUCACUGUGGAGACACCGGUUGUGUCGUACGUGAGCCGCUUGCCGCGCUCGGUGGAGUUGACGAUUGGCGUUGUGGUCUCCGUACUGACGCUGUGCCUGUUCCUGAUGCUGCUGCCGCUGCGGUGGCUCGGCGGGAUGGACGAAGCCGCGCCGUUGGAUUUCGAGCUGCGCGCGAUCGCGCUGUCGUACGAGGCAUCUGCGUCGGAGCGCGACGCGUCGGCCGGCGCAGCGGUGGCGGACGCGAUGCCGACAGGGGGCAAUGCUUCUGUGAGCAUGAACAACUCGCCGGCGUCGACGGAGAGCGACGCGGAGGGCGGCGCUGCGAGGGCGGCGUCGGAGUUGGACUCGUGGCAGGACCCACGCUACCCGGGCUCGACGGUGCUGGACUAUUUGAAAUCGCUGGACCUGUGGCUGAUUCUGCUGUACAUGUUCUGUGUUUCCCCGAUGGGGAUCAUAAUGUCGUACAACGGGAGCACGAUUUCAAUCGCGAAAACGGGGAAUCCGCGGAGCACGCAGACGGCUGCGCUGUACACCGCGUUCAUUGGCCUGGGCAACAGCGUGGGCCGCAUCGCAUUCGGGCUGUUCGAAGCGUAUGUGCAACACACGAAGGGCUUGAGCGGGCGCCGCCGCGUGCUGGUGACUGCUGCGCUGUUCGUGAGCCCGACACUAGCGACCGUUGGUGGUGUGCUGCUGCUUGUGCUGCCAGGCAAGCUGAUUCUGCUUCCAUACAUUGUUGUGUACAUCAUGAAUGGCUUCAGCGCGGCGCUGCAGGCUCUAAUCUUCACGUGCCUGUUCGAGAGCUUCCACAACACGCUGUACAACAUGGCGUUCAUGGUGAUGGUGAUUUGCGUGAUUGUGUUCAACCGGCUCCUGUUCGGCAUGUACGUCGACAUGCAGCACCGCAAGCUGCGGCUGAGCGCGUCGCAGGAGUGCAACCGCGCAGUGUGCAUCGAGACGCCGUUCAUUGUUGCGACGUGCCUUGCUGCCGGCGGGCUGCUUGUUGCGGGGCUUGCUCACGUGCGGUACGCGCGGUUUGUUGCGCGCGUGCAGGAGUGGCGGCCCGGGGCGUCGAAGCCGACGAAGUGCUGUUCUCCCCACUCACGCCCGUAACGCUUUUUCUGUCUUAUUGUUUUUCACGGCUGUAGCCGUGCCUGCCUGCGUGUGCAGGCAACUAGUGAAGAGAAAGAGCGACGAAUGAACCUCCGCCGGCGCUGCUGAAGAGGACGCAGCGUCAUGUCAGAAUAAAAAGGGAAACUUGGGGACAAACCCGCCCUUUGUUGGCAUGGUGGCCUUCCUUUUUGCUUGUCUUGCUUUUACUUUAUUUUGUGUGUGUUUGUGCUGCCAACGGGGCGUACUUGCAUCGUGAGCCGGUCGCUCGCGUUGGCACGUUGCCCUCCCUCCCUUCACCCUCCCUCGAACUUGUCUCUCUUGUCCGCGACAGUGACGCAGUCUGAAAUCCUCUUUACCCAUCCGCGUGCAUGUACCGGCUCCCAUACACGGACUUCUUCACAUGCACUCGUAGGUGCGAGUGCGGGCGGCAGCGGAUGCGUUAAACGACUGUGAACGGACGAGAGCGGCGACAACGCCUCCGCAUAUCUACUGUCCCCUUCUCUCCCGUUUUGCAACCGCUGCGCCUUCGCGUAUGCCCCUCUCCACCCACAGCUGCGCACACGAGGGCACGGGCGCACGGCGGCGUUAUUGGAGAGAGGGGAGCGGGUGCGUGCGUGGUGGCGGCUCACGUAACUUCUUUUUUCUUUUCUCUGAUGUGUUUAUCCCUCUUUCUUUCCUCUUGUGUUUCUCCACAUGCACAAACACACACAAGCACAGCCCCCCUCCCCCUCCCUUCCUAAUGUUUCUGUCGUCAUCUCGAGCCGCCCACUUUGCAGCUAAGCGAGUGGAGCAGCGCCCCCCCCCCCCCCCGCGCGACGACGGCGGCAAACACGAGAAAAAUGGAGGCCGCCACGCCCUUUGGUUUGUCUUGUGGCUCUAUACUCGGCCCCUCUCCACCACUGUGCGUGCCGGCCGGCCUGCGUGCGUGCUCAUCGACUGUUUCUUGUGUGCCAUGGCUACGCUACCCACCACUGAAACGCACGCGUGCGUGAGAGGGAGAGACUUGUUCUCUGGUAUCCACCCCCUCCUUUCCCUCCCCUCUCCUCCCCGUAG